GUUUUCUAAUUUAUUUUAGUGCCAUCUUUGUCUUGUCAUUAUCUAUGCAUCCCUCCUUUACCCAUCAAGUCAUCUUUUUUGAGUGUAUAUUAGAGCAAAUUACAGCUAUCAGUACACUUUGACCCCCAAACACUUCAACAUGUUUAUCAUGAACUAGAGGUCAAUGCUUGUGUAUGGUUCUUUGUUCUAUGAAGGCAAAAUUUUUUAUACAAUGAAAUGCACAAAUCUUAAGUAUACCAUUUAUUGAGUUUUAACAAAUGCAUAUAUUUGUAUAAGCCCAACUCUAUCAAGAUAUGGAAUAUUUCCAUCACUCCAAAAAGUUUCCUAGUUUCCCGGUUGCCCCCAUUGUUCUGAUUUCUUUCCACCAUAGCUUAGUUUUGCUCAUUCUAGAAUGUCAUAAUCAUCGAAUCAUGCAGUAUCUACUCUUUUUACCUGGCUGGUUUCAUUCAGCAUAAUGUUCUGGAGCUUCGUCCUGUUGUUGCAUGUAUCAGUAGUUUGUUCCUUUUUAUUGUUGAGUAGGAAUCCAUUGUAUGGAUGUGUAAUAGUUUGUUAAUCCAUUUGCUUCUUGACAGACACCUGGGCUGUUUCUAGUUUGGAACCAUUGUAAACAAAACUGCUAUGAAAUUGUUGUACAAUCUUUGUGUGAAUAUAUGUUUUCAUUUUUUCUUGGGGACUCGAGUGGAAAUGCUGCAUCAUAGGUGUCAGAUGCUGCACCUUGGUGGAUACCAGUGAAGGUUACAAUGACAGGGUUGGCUGCAGUUGACCUGGCAAUCAGCUGUACACCCCAGGCUGUUUCUCAUGGACAGAUGAAUGGAUGGAUGCUCAACCAGCUCUCCGUGACCCUGAACUUGUAUAAUUGCUUUGUUGGAACCUGAAUGUUGUCUUUUUUCAUUUGUCCUCAUUAAAUUUCUUUUUUUU
rnacentral:lncRNA from 10 species